rnacentral:rRNA from 1 species
GAUGAACGCUGGCGGCGUGCCUAAUACAUGCAAGUCGAGCGAACGGACGAGAAGCUUGCUUCUCUGAUGUUAGCGGCGGGCGGGUGAGUAACACGUGGAUAACCUACCUAUAAGACUGGGAUAACUUCGGGAAACCGGAGCUAAUACCGGAUAAUAUUUUGAACCGCAUGGUUCAAAAGUGAAAGACGGUCUUGCUGUCACUUAUAGAUGGAUCCGCGCUGCAUUAGCUAGUUGGUAAGGUAACGGCUUACCAAGGCAACGAUGCAUAGCCGACCUGAGAGGGUGAUCGGCCACACUGGAACUGAGACAAGGUCCAGACUCCUACGGGAGGAAGCAGUAGGAAAUCUUCCGCAAUGGGCGAAAGCCUGACGGAGCAACGCCGCGUGAGUGAUGAAGGUCUUCGGAUCGUAAAACUCUGUUAUUAGGGAAGAACAUAUGUGUAAGUAACUGUGCACAUCUUGACGGUACCUAAUCAGAAAGCCACGGCUAACUACGUG